UUCUAAUAUCUUACUUGAUUCGAAUUACAAUGCAAAACUUUCUGAUUUUGGCUUGGCAAAGGAUGGACCAGCAGGUGAUGAAAGCCAUGUCUCUACAAGGGUAAUGGGCACUUAUGGCUAUGCUGCUCCUGAAUAUAUUGCCACAGGUCACUUGACAAAGAAGAGUGAUGUCUACAGUUUUGGGGUUGUUCUGCUUGAAAUCAUGUCUGGCAAACGUGCCCUUGACAGCAACAGGCCAAGUGGGGAGCACAAUUUAAUUGAAUGGGCCAAACCAUACCUCAGCAACAAACGCAGGAUCUUCCAAGUCAUGGAUGCUCGCAUCGAAGGCCAAUACUCGACGCGCGAAGCCAUGAAAGUAGCCAACCUUGCCAUUCAAUGCCUCUCUGUGGAGCCAAGAUUUAGACCAAAAAUGGAUGAAGUGGUGAGAGCAUUGGAGGAACUUCAGGAUUC
rnacentral:sRNA from 1 species